GUGCCAGCCGCCGCGGUAAGACGGAGGGCGCGAGCGUUGUUCGGAAUUACUGGGCGUAAAGCGCGCGCAGGCGGGCGUGUAAGUCGGGGGUGAAAUUUCAGGGCUCAACCCUGGAACUGCUUCCGAUACUGCACGUCUAGGGACCGGUAGAGGUCGGUGGAAUUCCCGGUGUAGCGGUGGAAUGCGUAGAGAUCGGGAAGAACACCCGUGGCGAAGGCGGCCGACUGGGCCGGAUCCGACGCUGAGGCGCGAAAGCGUGGGGAGCAAACAGGAUUAGAUACCCCCGUAGUCC
rnacentral:rRNA from 1 species